UACAGAGGGUGCGAGCGUUGUCCGGAAUCACUGGGCGUAAAGGGCGCGUAGGUGGCGCGACAAGUCAGUGGUGAAAGUUCGACGCUCAACGUCGAAUCGGCCACUGAUACUGUUGGGCUUGAGCACUGUAGAGGCUAAUGGAAUUCCGGGUGUAGCGGUGGAAUGCGUAGAGAUCCGGAAGAACACCCAGUGGCGAAGGCGGCCCGCUGGGCAGUGGCUGACGCU
rnacentral:rRNA from 1 species